rnacentral:lncRNA from 1 species
CGAGGGCCGAGUGUCAGAAGCUGCUGCUGAGUCACUCAAGAUGAAGACAGAACUCAUCACUGGAGUCACUCAGGCAGCCUUGAGAGUGGACCCUUGGCCACUGUUCAGGGCAAGGAGGGGCCUCCACGUCUGAGUUCGAGCAGCCCCCAUAGUGGCCAGAGUGUGAAAACUUUUCCCAAAGCAAACCCAGCUGAUCUACUAAACUCCUCCCCGGGCACCCUGGUUGGUAUCUUCUCAUCUUGGGCUCAUGACUUCGUUCGUCCUUUCCUCAGCUUCUUUACCUGCUAACAAAUACAGCCAGCAAGCAUUUUUUUCCAUCUAGU